rnacentral:rRNA from 1 species
UACGUAGGUGGCAAGCGUUGUCCGGAUUUAUUGGGCUUAAAGGGCGCGUAGGCGGUCUAUUAAGUCAGUGCUGAAAUAUCCCGGCUUAACCGGGAGGGUGGCAUUGAUACUGAUGGACUUGAGUAAAGUUGAGGUAGGCGGAAUUGACGGUGUAGCGGUGAAAUGCUUAGAUAUCGUCAAGAACACCUAUAGCGAAGGCAGCUUACUAAGCUUUAACUGACGCUGAGGCACGAAAGUGUGGGGAUCAAACAGG